UGCAGUCGUACGAGAACACCCUAGCUUGCUAGGGUAAGUAAAGUGGCGCACGGGUGAGUAACGCGUGGGUAAUCUACCUUCGAAUUGGGGAUAACGUUGCGAAAGCGACGCUAAUACCGAAUAACAUCCAUUAAUCUUCGGGUUUUUGGAUCAAGGGUGGCCUCUACAUGUAAGCUACUGUUUGAAGAUGAGCCCGCGUACCAUUAGCUUGUUGGUGGGGUAAUGGCCUACCAAGGCAGCGAUGGUUAGCUGGUCUGAGAGGAUGAUCAGCCACACUGGAACUGACACACGGUCCAGACUCCUACGGGAGGCAGCAGUGAGGAAUUUUGCGCAAUGGGGGAAACCCUGACGCAGCAACGCCGCGUGAGUGAUGAAGGCUUUCGGGUCGUAAAGCUCUGUCAAAUGGGAAAAAGGCCUUUGGUUGAAUAGGCUGAAGGAUUGAUGGUACCAUUGGAGGAAGCACCGGCUAACUCCGUG
rnacentral:rRNA from 1 species